GACGAACGCUGGCGGCGUGCCUAAUACAUGCAAGUCGAGCGGAACUGGGGGAGCUUGCUCCUUCCAGUUUAGCGGCGGACGGGUGAGUAACACGUGGGCAACCUGCCCUGCAGAUCGGGAUAACUCCGGGAAACCGGUGCUAAUACCGAAUAGUUUGGCGCCUCUCCUGAGGCGCUACGGAAAGACGGUUUCGGCUGCCAAUGCAGGCUGGGCCCGCGGCGCAUUAGCUAGUUGGUGGGGUAACGGCCCACCAAGGCGACGAUGCGUAGCCGACCUGAGAGGGUGACCGGCCACACUGGGACUGAGACACGGCCCAGACUCCUACGGGAGGCAGCAGUAGGGAAUCUUCCGCAAUGGACGCAAGUCUGACGGAGCAACGCCGCGUGAGUGACGAAGGUUUUCGGAUCGUAAAACUCUGUUGUGAGGGAAGAACACGUACCAACUAACUAUUGGUACCUUGACGGUACCUCGCCAGAAAGCCACGGCUAACUACGUGCCAGCCGCCGCGGUAA
rnacentral:rRNA from 1 species